AUCUGGCUGGCUCAGUCGGUAAAGCAGGUGAUUCUUGAUCUCAGGGUCAUGAGUUCAAGCCCCAUGUUGGGUG
rnacentral:tRNA from 1 species